AUGAAGAGUGACUGGUCUAAUGAUGAACCUCCAGUCUUCAGUAAUGAACCUGGACCCUCAGACACAAAACAGAGAGCAGAGUCUCUAAUAUCCAGCUGUCUGUCUAUGAAGAGUGACCAGUCUAAAGAUCAUGUACCUCCACUCUUCAGUAAUGAACCUGGACCCUCAGAC